CUGAGUGCUCACCUGUGAGCAGUUUAAAAGACUUCUGGCAAGCAAAGGCUGUGCCUCAGAAAACCAUGGAGCACUUCUGAGACAGCCAACCCAAAUGUACAUGGAGAUCUAACAGGAAAAAGGGAACUUGUCCUUAUUAAAAAAGAAAAAUAUGAGUGUUUUGCAAAAUCUGAGUUCCAUUCAAUAUCCACUCCCUCCUUGAACGUCUUGUCACACUCUUUUUCCUAUAAAUCAAUGAACUGUAAGACGUCCAAGCUUUAAUCAAAGGAAAUGUUAUUAUUCUGCAGGUACUUUCACUGUGGAUUGCAGCUUUAUCACUGAAAAUUCUAUUUUCACAAAUCUUUUGGUGGUCCCAGUUGGUUCAUCUGGGGCCAGGUCUGGUUUUGCAUCUACUGAAUUACUAUUUCAGCAUCUCAUUAACACACAAUCAGCCCUGCUUGCACUGAGUUACUAUUCAGUACCUGUUUAUUUCCUGUUUCUCUCUGAAAAAUCACCUGCCCUACUGAGGCAGAAUAUCACCAUCUAAUCCUGGCAACAUGCAGCUCCUGUGGCAGAACAGGGAACUGAGCCCAGACUCAAUCCCUGACUACUUCCUCACCCACAAGGUAAUUUUCCCUUAUGGCUGGUAAUGGUGACUAAAUAGUCAUGGUAAUGGUGACCAAGUUUGUUUUUGACUAAGCCACAGCUCAAUUCAGCUCCCGUGCUCAGUUCAUCUGCAAUUAGUCAGCUUCACACAAAUAUUUACAUGACACGUAUCCUGGCUUGUUUUUUCACUUCCUUGCUUUAAUAAAGGCCAAAAUG